rnacentral:rRNA from 1 species
CCUACGGGAGGCAGCAGUAGGGAAUUUUCGUCAAUGGGCGCAAGCCUGAACGAGCGAUGCCGCGUGAGUGAAGAAGGCCUUCGGGUCGUAAAGCUCUGUUGCGGGGGAAAAAAGGCAGCAUCAGGAAAUGGGUGCUGACUGAUGGUGCCCAGCCAGAAAGUCACGGCUAACUACGUGCCAGCAGCCGCGGUAAUCCGUAGGUGGCGAGCGUUAUCCGGAAUGGUUGGGCGGAAAGGGUGCGCAGGCGGUCCUGCAAGUCUGGAGUGAAACGCAUGAGCUCAACUCAUGCAUGGCUUUGGAAACUGGAGGACUGGCGAGCCGGAGAGGGCGGUGGAACUCCAGGUGUAGCGGUAAAAUGCGUAGAUAUAUGGAAGAACACCAGUGGCGAAGGCGGCCGCCUGGCCUGUUGCUGACGCUGAGGCACGAAAGCGUGGGGAGCAAAUAGGAUUAGAUACCCGAGUAGUC